AUGAUAUGGCUUUAUUGCAGCAGGUUUUGUACAGUAUUGCAAGCUGUUUUCGCAGGGCUAUUUUUGUCUGGUUUUGAAUGUUUUCAUAGCAGGUUUUAUGGAAGGUUGGGCAAAGGGUGUAACAGGUUUUGGUUUGUGUUGAGAAUAGGUAUGUAUAGGAGAAACAAGGCUGGUUUUGGAUGUAGCAGAAUUUGGAAGGGUUUGGCAUGUCCUUAUGGUGCAAGGUUUUUUGAGAUUUCUCUAGUAAUAUCUUUCUGA